rnacentral:rRNA from 1 species
UACGUAGGGUGCGAGCGUUGUCCGGAAUUAUUGGGCGUAAAGGGCUCGUAGGCGGUCUGUCACGUCGGGAGUGAAAACACGGGGCUUAACCCCGUGCCUGCUUCCGAUACGGGCAGACUAGAGGUAUGCAGGGGAGAACGGAAUUCCUGGUGUAGCGGUGGAAUGCGCAGAUAUCAGGAGGAACACCGGUGGCGAAGGCGGGUCUCUGGGCAGUAACUGACGCUGAGAAGCGAAAGCGUGGGGAGCGAACAGG